GACGAGGUACCUCGUCAAUGGGAGUCUGUGAACCUGGUCAGGUGGGAAACUAAGCAGCCAUAAGCGGUAACUCUCAUGUGACGGGGUUUCUCGUCGAG
rnacentral:SRP_RNA from 1 species